GUCGACGGCAGCACGGGAGCUUGCUCCUGGUGGCGAGUGGCGAACGGGUGAGUAAUGCGUCGGAACGUACCGAGUAAUGGGGGAUAACGCAGCGAAAGCUGUGCUAAUACCGCAUACGCCCUGAGGGGGAAAGUGGGGGAUCGCAAGACCUCACGUUAUUCGAGCGGCCGACGUCUGAUUAGCUAGUUGGUGGGGUAAUGGCCUACCAAGGCGACGAUCAGUAGCGGGUCUGAGAGGAUGAUCCGCCACACUGGGACUGAGACACGGCCCAGACUCCUACGGGAGGCAGCAGUGGGGAAUUUUGGACAAUGGGGGCAACCCUGAUCCAGCCAUUCCGCGUGAGUGAAGAAGGCCUUCGGGUUGUAAAGCUCUUUCAGCUGGAACGAAACGGUACAGGUUAAUACCCUGUGCUAAUGACGGUACCGGCAGAAGAAGCACCGGCUAACUACGUGCCAGCAGCCGCGGUAAUACGUAGGGUGCGAGCGUUAAUCGGAAUUACUGGGCGUAAAGCGUGCGCAGGCGGAUUGUUAAGCAAGAUGUGAAAUCCCCGGGCUUAACCUGGGAAUGGCAUUUUGAACUGGCAGUCUAGAGUGCGUCAGAGGGGGGUGGAAUUCCACGUGUAGCAGUGAAAUGCGUAGAGAUGUGGAGGAACACCAAUGGCGAAGGCAGCCCCCUGGGAUGACACUGACGCUCAUGUACGAAAGCGUGGGUAGCAAACAGGAUUAGAUACCCUGGUAGUCCACGCCCUAAACGAUGUCAACUGGUUGUUGGGGGAGUGAAAUCCCUUAGUAACGAAGCUAACGCGUGAAGUUG
rnacentral:rRNA from 1 species